ACAAGAUGUAAUAGCUGGAUCUUUAAAUUCUCGAAGGGAGAUGGUGUUCAAAUGUAACAAGCACAUAUUGUACAUACAGCAGGUGCUCAUAGCUUACAGAACACAAAAACCAUACAUACAUAAACCCACCAAAGGCCACGAGGGGUAUACUCGGAGCCCAUCCGAGAGCGAGACAAUGUAUUUCCAUUCCAGAUGAAGUGUGCUGUUUCCAGCCCCGUGCCCUGGUUCCUACAUUGUUCACAGACGUGUACUCCAUUGAAGGGAUUUUAAAAUGAGAGACAAACCCCCAUGUCAAAGUAAUUGUGCUGAACGCUGGAAAUAGGACAAAAUGGAAGGAGCUGAAAAAAUGUCACCAUUACCUUCCCAAAAGGCUCACUCCUGUUUGAUCCGACUCUGAAGACACUAAUAGACUGGAGUAGCCGCGAAGACUCCCAGCAUAGAAAGUAUUCCUCUAUGUUUUAUUUUAAAUUAUAUUGAUUGGCUAAUGUCUGCAAAGUGUGCACAAAAGUUUCAUUCUAAAUGUCAGUAUUCCCCUCUUGCAUUAACUCUCAUGGAGGAAGCCAUUGUUCUCUAACACUGAAGUAAAUUUCAAGUAGCAUUUUUGCUCUUUAGGACUUCUCAUGCAAACAACCCAAAUUAUUGUCUCACAGAAGAGUUGUCUUUAAUUUCAAACAGCAAAUUGGAGUUGCACAGAAGUUGGAAUACACAGCUACAUAUUUACACACGUUUAGAAAGACCUAUGUACAAUCUGCAAAUUUUGCCAGCACAUUUAUCAUUGUUCCAAGAUGAUGAAAUUGAAACUCUCAUCUUCUUUUAGCUGGAAAACAAUGCCACUACUCUGUGUGUUGAGUUUCAACUUUACCUGGGCUUGAUUUCAUUUGAAAAGAAGGCUUUUUUUCUUCUCCCAAAGGUGGGCCCUUAUUAAUAAGCAUGUAAAAAACAUUAUGUGCACUAAAGAGCAUACAAGGACCUGCUCAUUUGAAAUCUUGAUGGGCUGGGGAUAUUACAAUGUAUGGAAUUUCAUAAUUUACGUGCCAUAGUAAAUCCUAGCUUUCAUGGAUUUGGAAUCUUUGUUUACUUAAAACUCUGUUGCCCCUCCCCCAUUCUCUUAGAGGGGAAAGCACAGCAAAGCAGCAUUUGAAUGGUGACAAGAGUUGUACUCCCAAAAUCAAAGUCUGAAUUGCUUAUCAUUAGGAGUCUUCUACAGUCUUCUACAACUGCCUCCUGGCUUCAAAAUGUCAAAUACUGUAGAAGCAGAGCUCUGUAUAACCCAAUGUUUUGAUCAACCGUAGUCUGGAGGAAAUUUGAUUUAAAAAGCACAAUUCUUCAUUCGCACAAACAGCAACUGAUAACAUUGCCUCUGCUUUUCAAUUCCACAAACAACCAAAAAGUAAAAGAUAAUCAUUUCUAGCAGAUUAUCUCAGUUCUAUCUUUACAAGGAUUUCAGAGAUGUUCCUUUGCCAGGUUGACUCAACAGUUAAAAGCAAAGCAUCCAUCUUAGUCCAUUCUGCAAAAAUCAUCGAAUUUCUCAGCUGAAGAAGCUUUUAUUCCAAGUUUUAAAAAAAGACACUACCCCUCUGCCAUAAAAAAUAUUUUUAAAAAAAUUAAGGUUCAUUGUAUUGUUUUACAUAUGCAAAGCUAUCUUGUGUACCAGUAUACUUUGAACAACAAUAAAAC
rnacentral:lncRNA from 1 species